rnacentral:rRNA from 1 species
UUUCCCAUAGCAUAAGCUAGUAAGACCCCUUGAAGAACACAAGGUUGAUAGGUCAGAGGUGUAAGUAUGGUAACAUAUUUAGCUGACUGAUACUAAUAGGUCGAGGGCUUGACCAAAAUAAGUUAUGAAUUCAUGUGCAAUUUUCAGAGAAUACUCUGAAAAAAAUAGUUGACAGUAUAUUAAAAUUAAAAUAUAAUGUUAAUGUNGGGGACAGGAUGACAGGUGGUGCAUGGUUGUCGUCAGCUCGUGUCGUGAGAUGUUGGGUUAAGUCCCGCAACGAGCGCAACCCUUAUUGUUAGUUGCUACCAUUUAGUUGAGCACUCUAGCGAGACUGCCCGGGUUAACCGGGAGGAAGGUGGGGAUGACGUCAAAUCAUCAUGCCCCUUAUGUCUAGGGCUACACACGUGCUACAAUGGCAAGUACAACGAGAUGCAAUACCGCAAGGUGGAGCUAAACUAUAAAACUUGUCUCAGUUCGGAUUGUAGGCUGAAACUCGCCUACAUGAAGCUGGAGUUGCUAGUAAUCGCGAAUCAGAAUGUCGCGGUGAAUACGUUCCCGGGCCUUGUACACACCGCCCGUCACACCAUGAGAGUUGGCAAUACCCAAAGUUCGUGAGCUAACCCGUAAGGGAGGCAGCGACCUAAGGUAGGGUCAGCGAUUGGGGUGAAGUCGUAACAAGGUAGCCGUAGGAGAACCUGCGGCUG